GUGGGGAAUAUUGGACAAUGGGCGAAAGCCUGAUCCAGCCAUGCCGCGUGUGUGAAGAAGGUCUUCGGAUUGUAAAGCACUUUAAGUUGGGAGGAAGGGCAGUAAGUUAAUACCUUGCUGUUUUGACGUUACCGACAGAAUAAGCACCGGCUAACUUCGUGCCAGCAGCCGCGGUAAUACGAAGGGUGCAAGCGUUAAUCGGAAUUACUGGGCGUAACGCGCGCGUAGGUGGUUUUGUAAGUUAGGAGUGGAAGCCCAGGGCUCAACCUUGGAAUUGCUCUUAAAACUGCAAGGCUCGAAUCUCGGAGAGGAUAGCGGAAUUUCCAGUGUAGCAGUGAAAUGCGUAGAUAUUGGAAGGAACACCAGUGGCGUAAGCGGUUAUCUGGACGAGUAUUGACGCUGAGGCACGAAAGCGUGGGGAUCAAACAGGAUUAGAAACCCCUGUAGUCC
rnacentral:rRNA from 1 species